GCUUCAGCAGCAGGCCAAGUCAAUCAAGGAGCAGGUCAAAACUCUAGAAGACACACUAGAAGAAGAUAUUAAAACCAUGGAAAUGGUGAAAACCAAGUGGGAUCAUUUUGGCAGUAAUUUUGAGACCCUGUCCAACUGGAUAACAGAGAAAGAAAAUGAACUCAGUUCCUUGGAAACGUCAGCCUCUGCCAUGGAGAUGCAGAUCAACCAAAUCAAGGUGACCUGCGCCCACGUUCCAUUAAUCUCUCUUCCUUUAAGAACAUCUUUCUUAUAUAUGUAUCACCAAAAGCUCUCUGAUCCCAGGACAAAUCUUCCGUUCUUCUGUGGCUCUUUUAAGUUAAACUAACGCCAAAUUGAGAGGUCGUGAUGGAUGACAGUUUAUAGAUCAAAUCGUGUAUUAGUAUGGUCUGACUUACAGAUCCAAAGUCAAUAUUGUGUGCAAUAUCAUUAAACUAUUUUUAUGGUUGCAUUC
rnacentral:lncRNA from 1 species